rnacentral:tRNA from 1 species
GAAAAUCCGUCGAAUUGAAAUAUCGUGAGGGUUCNNGUCCCUCUCUCCCCC